CCUACGGGAGGCAGCAGUGGGGAAUAUUGCACAAUGGGCGCAAGCCUGAUGCAGCCAUGCCGCGUAUGUGAAGAAGGGCUUCGGGUUGUAAAGCACUUUCAGCGAGGAGGAAGGUGGUGAGCUUAAUACGCUCAUCAAUUGACGUUACUCGCAGAAGAGGCACCGGCUAACUCCGUGCCAGCAGCCGUGGUAAUACGGAGGGUGCAAGCGUUAAUCGGAACUACUGGGCGUAAAGCGCACGCAGGCGGUUUGUUCAGUCAGAUGUGAAAUCCCCGGGCUCAACCUGGGAACUGCAUUUGAAACUGGCAAGCUAGAGUCUCGUAGAGGGGGGUAGAAUUCCAGGUGUAGCGGUGAAAUGCGUAGAGAUCUGGAGGAAUACCGGUGGCGAAGGCGGCCCCCUGGACGAAGACUGACGCUCAGGUGCCAAAGCGUGGGGAGCAAACAGGAUUAGAUACCCCUGUAGUC
rnacentral:rRNA from 1 species